rnacentral:lncRNA from 1 species
AAUCUGCUAGCACCUCAAUUUGGACUUCCCAGACUCCAGAACUGCAAGAAAUUAAUCUCUAUUGCUCACAAGCCACCCAGUCUAUGGUAUUCUGUUACAGCAGCUGGAGCAAACUGAGACAGUUGUUGACAGUGAUUUUCAUGAAGGUUCUCCCUUGCUCAUUUUUAAGCCCACUGGUUCAGACAGAAGCCUCUGGGAGAGCCCUCCAGGGUCCACCUUGAAGGCUUCAUUGCUUCUACCCAGAGCAUCUCCGUGGAGAGGAAGAAAAAGCAUCAACGAAAUGAGGUGCCUCAGCGGUUCUGGGGAGCAAUUCCUCUCUUCAUAUGACCAUUUGGGAAACCCCCAGUGAGAUGGAGUGUGCUUUUAAGCCAUGAAAACCACGCACAUCAGCCCCACCACAGAGCCUGUGUGAUUUCAUCUUAGAUGGUAUCUUGGAAGCAAGACCUACCUGGACUUUUUAGAAAUCUAAUCUAAUCAUUUUCUGUCUUGGAGUAGGUAAGUUCCCAUUUGCUGUCAUUACAGACAUACUUCAAUUUGUUAUUAUUUUGCUACCAUGUGUUUUGGGUUUUUAGGGGGUUUUUUUGGGUUUUUUUGAGACAGAGUCUUGCUCUGUCACCCAGGCUGGAAUGCAGUGGUGCAAUCUCAGCUCACCGCAACCUCCACCUCCCGGGUUUAAGUGAUUGUCCAGCCUCAGCCUCCCUAGUAGCUGGGAUUACAAGUGCCCACCACCACGCCCAGCUAAUUUUUGUAUUUUUAGUAGAGAUAGGGUUUCUUCAUGUUGGCCAGACUGGUCUCGAACUCCUGACCUCAGAUGACCUGCCUGCCUCAGCCUCCCAAAAUGCUGGGAUUACGGGUGUGAGCCAGCACACCUGGACGUGUUUUGUUUUUAAAUUCUCUGUUUUUCAUCUUUCCUGCCUUUUUCUAUUAUUCUGUGACCCAAUGAGUAAUGGAGGGAGCCCCAUGAAGAGUGGAGUCUGCCAUCAGCAGCGGACUCUGCCUGGCAUCCCAGAGGAGUCUGUGUCUUGAAGCAGUCAGUGCUCCCAGGGCUGAGCCGCUGGCCCUGAACAACCAUUCCUUGAAUAAAGAAAUAAAGAAUGAGGCUAACUCAAGACCCAUCCUGGCUCCAUAACUCUAUUUCCAAAGUCUUUUUUUUGUUUUUUUGCUUAACAUUGCAGGGCACCUGCUCUAUGCUCACUGCUGGGAUCACACAGGGGAAUGAGUAGAGCUCUCCCUGGCCUCAGACACCCCCACUUAGUGAGAAGGUUACCUGUGGGGACAACUCCCUUGGCAGGUGAUAAUAGCUAUGAUGGAAGCACCCACAGAAUGUUUGAAAAGAUUUGGCAAAAGUGGGGCCACACUGUUGCCUUUGGCAACAGCUAGGUGAAGCUGAUCAGCAGCCAUCCCUUUGGGUAGGUCCAUGCUCCAUUUCUCCACUGUCCUCACCAAGGCCAGACUAGGUUAGGCAAACAAGGCCCAAGAAGCCAACUUUAAGGAGGCACUCAUCUCCCAGUGCUAGCCUUGUACUUGCAAAGCCCCAAGAGUGAGUGCUUCCUUAAAACAUGCAUCCUGGGCACCUUCCUAGCCUUGCCCUAGCCGUAGUCCUGACCCUGGUCUCCAACACUCCCUACUGCCUCCCCAACAGUGAGGCCAUGUAUAAAUGGUCACAUCCUGCUUGCUCUGUUGUUUGUCUACUGCUAGAGUUAAGAGGAAUGUGAAUUUUCUGGUAUGCUUGUCUCCAUCAAAA